UACGGAGGGUGCAAGCGUUAUCCGGAUUCACUGGGUUUAAAGGGUGCGUAGGUGGGUUGGUAAGUCAGUGGUGAAAUCUCUAGGCUUAACUUGGAAACUGCCAUUGAUACUAUUAAUCUUGAAUACCGUGGAGGUCAGCGGAAUAUGUCAUGUAGCGGUGAAAUGCUUAGAUAUGACAUAGAACACCAAUUGCGAAGGCAGCUGGCUACACGAAUAUUGACACUGAUGCACGAAAGCGUGGGGAUCAAACAGG
rnacentral:rRNA from 1 species